UACGGAAGGCAGCAGUGGGGAAUAUUGCACAAUGGGCGAAAGCCUGAUGCAGCUAUGCCGCGUGUAUGAAGAAGGCCUUAGGGUUGUAAAGUACUUUUCAUCGGGGAGGAAAAAACAAAACUAAUAAUUUUAUUUCUUGACGUUACCCGAAAAAGAAGCACCGGCUAACUCCGUGCCAGCAGCCGCGGUAAUACGGAGGGUGCUAGCGUUAAUCAGAAUUACUGGGCGUAAAGAGCACGUAGGUGGUUUUUUAAGUCAGAUGUGAAAUCCCUGGGCUUAACCUAGGAACUGCAUUUUGAAACUGAAAUACUAGAGUAUCGUAGAGGGAGGUAGAAUUCUAGGUGUAGCGGUGAAAUGCGUAGAUAUCUGGAGGAAUACCUGUGGCGAAAGCGGCCUCCUAAACGAAUACUGACACUGAGGUGCGAAAGCGUGGGGAGCAAACAGGGAUUAGAUACC
rnacentral:rRNA from 1 species